rnacentral:rRNA from 1 species
GACAGAGGGUGCAAACGUUGUUCGGAAUUACUGGGCGUAAAGGGCGCGUAGGCGGCUUGGUCAGUCCCGUGUGAAAUCCCUCGGCCCAACUGAGGAACUGCGCCCGAGACUGCUUCUCUUGAGUCCCGGAGAGGAACGAUGGAAUUCCCGGUGUAGCGGUGAAAUGUGUAGAUAUCAGGAGGAACACCGGUGGCGAAGGCGGAUCUCUGGGCCAUUACUGACGCUGAGGAGCGAAAGCGUGGGGAGCGAACAGG